GACGAACGCUGGCGGCGUGCUUAACACAUGCAAGUCGAACGGAAAGGCCCUGCUUUUGUGGGGUGCUCGAUUGGCGAACGGGUGUGUAACACGUGAGUAACCUGCCCUUGACUUUGGGAUAACUUCAGGAAACUGGGGCUAAUACCGGAUAGGAGCUCCUGCUGCGUGGUGGGGGUUGGAAAGUUUCGGCGGUUGCUGAUGGGCUCGCGGCUUAUCAGCUUGUUGGUGGGGUAGUGGCUUACCAAGGCUUUGACGGGUAGCCGGCCCGAGAGGGUGACCGGCCACAUUGGGACUGGGAUACGGCCCAGACUCCUACGGGAGGCAGCAGUGGGGAGUAUUGCACAGUGGGCGGAAGCCUGAUGCAGCAACGCCGCGUGCCGGAUGACGGCCUUCGGGUUGGCAGCCGCUUUCGCCUGUGCCGAAGCGUAAGUGACGGUCAUGGGUAAAGAAGCACCGGCUAACUACGUG
rnacentral:rRNA from 1 species